GAAUCAACGGAAACAUAAUUUUGCACAAUUGUAUUGCACAAUUUCAUGUAACAUCAUAAAAGUAUUGAAUAUUGGGAUAGAGCAAAAGAAUAAAAAUUGCAUAAUAAUUUUCUUAAACAGCGAAAAGAAAAUUUACCCUCUUAAUCUCUCACGUUUCACCGAAAAAUCCAAAUCCAAUUCGUUAAAAUUCAAACAAUUCUCAACAAUUCAUUCUAACAAAUUCAUUUAAUAAUUCGAGAUUAAAAUCACCUCUCCAUGUCCAAAAUCAUCGUGAUCGAUAAAAAUUCCCCAUGAAUUUUAAAAAUGGGGGGAAAACGGCGAUUCAAAAAGAGCGAGAAAUAAAAGGAAUGGGGGGGGAGGGGGAAUUUAAAUAGGCUUGGGUCGAGGCUUGUUGGCAUAAUCGAUAUCACGGUUGCAAGCCGGUGUGAUUAAUUAGCAGCGGAAACGUGGCGACGUGGAGGUCAAAGGUAAGACUUCCGGGGGGGAGGGGGGAAGCGGCGAAGGAAAGCCUCGUAGACGAUGCAGCGACUGUGGUUCAGGGCAGCGACCCAAUUCUCAUGUGUAUUUAUACCUAGAAGACGCUAUGCCGGCUGCGUGUGGCCAUUUUCGAGUGGGGAGAGGGAGAGAGAGAGACGCGGGGCGGGCCGAUGAAAGACAGGGAGGAAAGAGAACCGUCUCGUGCGUCACGAGACACGGCACGGUGUCUAAUGAAUUUGGAAAUUUAAUUCCGACCGAUUCGACCGGGGACAGCGCGGCAUGAAACCGGUUGGUCACUGAGUAAUUUCGACACCACGGGAUUAUUUAUAGACGAGCAAUAAGUAAUAAAGAAGAUUUUUAACCUUCCGUAGUUAGAUGCGUCUGGAGAGUGAUUCAAGUAAUCAGUUUGGGGGUUCCCAACUUGUAUUUAAAAUUGAGGGAGAUAUUUGGGUAAGGCAGUAGAUGGAGCUAUUAAAAUAUAUAUAUUUUCCUAGAUGCGUCUGGAGAGUGAUUCAAGUAAUCAGUUUGGGGGUUCCCAACUUGUAUUUAAAAUUGAGGGAGUUAUUUGGGUAGUAGACGGAGCUAUUAAAAUAUAUAUUCACAAAACCUUUGGAUCAUUUUGCUCCAAAGGUUAGAUGACAUUUCAGCUUGUUGACACGGUCGAAAGGUUUGUGUAAGAAGAAAAAUCUAUAAAUCUCAACUGCAAGAAUCCUCCCACGCGUCUCAGCCCAGCUGAUUCCAAGCUGGAGCUUCGAAUGUUGCACAA
rnacentral:lncRNA from 1 species